rnacentral:rRNA from 1 species
GACGAACGCUGGCGGCGUGCUUAACACAUGCAAGUCGAACGGAAAGGCCCUGCUUGCAGGGUACUCGAGUGGCGAACGGGUGAGUAACACGUGGGUGAUCUGCCCUGCACUUCGGGAUAAGCCUGGGAAACUGGGUCUAAUACCGGAUAGGAGCCAUUUUUAGUGUGAUGGUUGGAAAGUUUUUUCGGUGUAGGAUGAGCUCGCGGCCUAUCAGCUUGUUGGUGGGGUAAUGGCCUACCAAGGCGGCGACGGGUAGCCGGCCUGUGGGGGUGGACGGCCACACUGGGACUGAGAGACGGCCCAGACUCCUACGGGAGGAAGAAGUGGGGAAGAUUGCACAAUGGGCGCAAGCCUGAUGCAGAGACGCCGCGUGGGGGAUGACGGCCUUCGGGUUGUAAACUCCUUUCGCUAGGGACGAAGCUUUUUGUGACGGUACCUAGAGAAGAAGCACCGGCUAACUACGUG